GUUAAUCUAAAGUUUUUUUAUAUCGCAAAUUUAUUUUUGAUAUAAAAAAACUUCAGAUUAACUUUAUGUGUAACAUGAAUAAAAAAACAAUAUGUGAACAUGAAUUUAAUCUGUUUUUCAUGGUGUAUCAAUCAAAGUUUGGUGUAUUGGCCAAAUCACUUGCAAGCAUCUUGCCUUUAAACUGCCAUACGUAAAGUCAUGCUUUUAAAAGUAACUGAAAGCAGCUGAAAAUAAGAAUUUUUUGUUAUGAGACUGCUUUAGAACGAAAUUAUCUGUGCCUCCAGCUUAAAAGGAUGCAGGUUACAAAAAAAGUGACACUGAUAUGAUUGUCUCUCAGUUUCUCAAAGAUUGAAGAAAUCUUUAGUGUUUUAGGGUUAAGUGAUUCCAUCAGAGCUUUGCUUGACUAUUUCUUUCGAUUUAUUGAAUUUAUUUGCCGGUUAUAGAUGAAAAAAGAUCUUCUAAACCUAGAAGAAAAAUUAUGGAACAAAGACACCUUAUGAAUCAAUAGUAUAUAUCAGUGAAUUGAUAUUAGUUAAUAGUUUUUGGAAACAGUACCAUGUACUAUUAAAGUUUCUAAUUUUUAAAAUAUAUAAUACAUUUAUAUGAAACAUACAAACAAAUGAUACAAUAUGGUACGUGAUUGACUAUAAUUAUGUUGUAUAUCAGAAUGUUUUAUAUAAAUGCUUAUUACAUUUUAUUGUGAUUUUUAUCUUUUAUGCCCAGUUAGCAAUGUAUUUUGUGUAGCAAUGACUACUAAUCUCAGAUAUCUAUGACAUCUGUAGGUUGUAUUCACCUCUACAGAUGUCAUAAUCUAUUUAUAACCAAUUGCUUUUACUCUUCCAUAAUGUCAUAUUUUAAUAAGAAUCAUAUUAUGGAAAACCGUAUAAUACAUACACAUGAGGAACCAUUAUACUUUUAGUACAACCAAUUAUAUUACAUUUGUUUUCUUAUUUUAGAUGAACUUUCUUACUUCGGUUGGAGGAGAUUAGAAACAACUUACAGCGGUAAUCUUAAUACAGCUAAUGGCCAAAGAAGUAUGUUUUUCAUAUUCAGUAUAUGAAAGAAAACAAAAACGACCUGCAAGGUCGUUAUAGAGUUGCGUUUAGUCGUUUAUCGUUGUAUUCGUUCAUUUCGAAAUCGCUACUGACAAAAGUAUUAAAGAAAAUAUUGGCAGCUUUCUGGCGACGGCCAUUAACAGAGAUUACGGAAGAAAAAUAGAACCGUAACUGAGCAACGCCUAAUGCAAUGCAACAGCAAUGACAUCUGUAGGGUAAAUAAGUAUCGCCAAUAUAAUGAAAGUCAAUGCCCACUAUCUCAUAGUGAGAGUAUAAUACA